AACGUAGGAGACAAACGUUAUCCGGAGUUACUGGGCGUAAAGGGCGUGUAGGUGGUUUCGUAAGUCUGGCGUGAAAUUUCUCGGCUUAACCGAGGCAGGUCGUCGGAUACUGCGGAACUGAGGACGGUAGAGGCGUGUGGAAUUCCGGGUGUAGUGGUGAAAUACGUAGAUAUCUGGAGGAGUACCGGUGGCGAAGGCGGCAUCCUGGACCGACAUUGACGCUGAGGAGCGAAAGCUAGGGGAGCAAACGGG
rnacentral:rRNA from 1 species